AAGAGCUUAUUGCACUUUGUAACCCCAUAUUUUGGCUCAUUAGCAAAUCAGACCCCAUACUUUGAAACGUGGUAGUUUGUAACCCUAAGUUUCGAUUAGCUUUCAGUUUGUAACUCUGGCCCACACAUCCGUUAAAAACAGCCGUUAACUUUAACUGUUUGAGAGGUAACAGUGUGUAUAUUAGUUUCUAACAGCUAUUUUACCCCCUGUGACCCCUCAAAGUUUAUGUAUUAUAUUUUGAAAUUAUUUUUGAACACACAAUGAUGUAAAAAAAUUUAAAUAAUUUUUAAAAAUAUGUGUUUAUUUUAAAAUAAGUCGCAU
rnacentral:lncRNA from 1 species